CCGAUAUUUCAUACCACAAGAAUGUGGCGCUCCAUGGUUGGUGAGCAUGCUCGGUCCGUCCGAGAAGCCUUAAAACUAUGACGACACAUUCACCUUGAACCAAGGGUUCAAGGGUUACAGCCUGCGGCGGCAUCUCGGAGAUUCC
rnacentral:sRNA from 1 species